AACGCAAGUUGCACCCUUGGGGACUUUUUAAGGACUCUUGGGUAUGCCCCUUUGAGCAUCAUGACCCAAUUUAUUACUCACUUUACUUUUAAGUUAAGUGGAAAAUGAGAUUCUAUUGUCUCUUUACUGAGUUGAUAGUAUCUUGAAACAGUUUGCCUGUAUUGACUUGUGCUUACUCAGUUGUACUGCAUCACUAAUAUCGAGUGUGGUGUAAGAGAGUUUUUAGAUAAUAUACUUUCUAAAAAAAGGCUCUUACAUUCUCUCAUAUCAGUUUGUUGUAUCUGUGGUUUGCAUAACAAUUACAAAAACCAAAACACUAAAUGUGAUCUCAAAUGGGGUAGGAAGACCCGCUGAACUUAA
rnacentral:misc_RNA from 1 species